GUGAGUCAUCGAAUCUUUGAACGCACAUUGCGCCCUGUGGUAUUCCGCAGGGCAUGCCUGUUCGAGCGUCAGUACAACACUCAAGCUCAGCUUGGUCUUGAGCCCAGCGGGGUCUCCUCGCGGGCUUUAAAAGUAGUGGCGGUGCCGCCUGGCCCCUAAGCGCAGUAAUGCUCCUCGCUUUUGGUGUCGACGGUCGCUGGCCAGCAACCCCAAACUUUCUCAGUUUGACCUCGGAUCAGGUAGGGAUACCCGCUGAACUUAAGCAUAUCAAUAAGCGGAGGA
rnacentral:misc_RNA from 1 species